rnacentral:piRNA from 1 species
UAGGAAGCAUUAUGCCCAAUAUGCCCUUAAU